UCCUCAUUGGUCUAGUGGUCAUGAUUUCCGCUUGUCACUUCUUGGGUUACGAGCGCGGGAGACCAGGGUUCGAUUCCCUGAUGGGGAG